GAUGAACGCUGGCGGCGUGCCUAAUACAUGCAAGUCGAGCGAACAGACGAGGAGCUUGCUCCUCUGACGUUAGCGGCGGACGGGUGAGUAACACGUGGAUAACCUACCUAUAAGACUGGGAUAACUUCGGGAAACCGGAGCUAAUACCUGAUAAUAUAUUGAACCGCAUGGUUCAAUAGUGAAGGACGGUUUUGCUGUCACUUAUAGAUGGAUCCGCGCCGCAUUAGCUAGUUGGUAAGGUAACGGCUUACCAAGGCGACGAUGCGUAGCCGACCUGAGAGGGUGAUCGGCCACACUGGAACUGAGACACGGUCCAGACUCCUACGGGAGGCAGCAGUAGGGAAUCUUCCGCAAUGGGCGAAAGCCUGACGGAGCAACGCCGCGUGAGUGAUGAAGGUCUUCGGAUCGUAAAACUCUGUUAUUAGGGAAGAACAAAUGUGUAAGUAACUAUGCACGUCUUGACGGUACCUAAUCAGAAAGCCACGGCUAACUACGUG
rnacentral:rRNA from 1 species